GUCUACCACCAUACCACCCUGAACAUACCUGAUCUCAGAAGCUAAGCAGGGUAGAGCCUGGUUAGUACUUGAAUAGGAGACCCUCUGGGAAUACCAGGUGCUGUAGGCU
ensembl:rRNA 5S_rRNA 5S ribosomal RNA